UACGUAGGUGGCAAGCGUUGUCCGGAUUUACUGGGCGUAAAGGAUGCGUAGGCGGACAUUUAAGUCAGAUGUGAAAUACCCGAGCUUAACUUGGGUGCUGCAUUUGAAACUGGGUGUCUAGAGUGCAGGAGAGGUAAGUGGAAUUCCUAGUGUAGCGGUGAAAUGCGUAGAGAUUAGGAAGAACACCAGUGGCGAAAGGCGACUUACUGGACUGUAACUGACGCUGAGGCAUGAAAGCGUGGGGAGCAAACAGG
rnacentral:rRNA from 1 species